rnacentral:SRP_RNA from 1 species
UCGCGCUAAGCGGGGAGCUGGCGGUUCCCUGUACCUGCAACCCGCCAUAGCAGGGCCGAACUCCGAUUCGAGGCGGGACGGUGGACGCGCACCGAGCGCACGCGCCCGUGUGGAUCAUCGGGACUUACGCAACGGAGGGAUGGUGAACCCCGCCAGGUCCGGAAGGAAGCAACGGUAAGUCAUUUCCCCGUGUGCCGUAAGCCCCCCGAUAGGAGCGGGUAGCGACGCCACGACGCGCCCAACGCCGUCGACAGUCGGUGCGCGA